rnacentral:rRNA from 1 species
AGUGAACGCUGGCGGUAGGCCUAACACAUGCAAGUCGAACGGCAGCACAGGAGAGCUUGCUCUCUGGGUGGCGAGUGGCGGACGGGUGAGGAAUACAUCGGAAUCUACUCUGUCGUGGGGGAUAACGUAGGGAAACUUACGCUAAUACCGCAUACGACCUACGGGUGACAGCAGGGGACCUUCGGGCCUUGCGCGAUGGAAUGAGCCGAUGUCGGAUUAGCUAGUUGGCGGGGUAAAGGCCCACCAAGGCGACGAUCCGUAGCUGGUCUGAGAGGAUGAUCAGCCACACUGGAACUGAGACACGGUCCAGACUCCUACGGGAGGCAGCAGUGGGGAAUAUUGGACAAUGGGCGCAAGCCUGAUCCAGCCAUACCGCGUGGGUGAAGAAGGCCUUCGGGUUGUAAAGCCCUUUUGUUGGGAAAGAAAUCCAGCUGGCUAAUACCCGGUUGGGAUGACGGUACCCAAAGAAUAAGCACCGGCUAACUUCGUGCCAGCCGCCGCAGUAA